GACGAACCGAGCGAACGUUGUUCGGAAUCACUGGGCUUAAAGGGCGCGUAGGCGGGCUGCCGCGUCCGGGGUGAAAUCCCACGGCUCAACCGUGGAACGGCCCCGGGUACGGGCGGCCUCGAGGGGGGUAGGGGCGUGCGGAACCGUGGGUGGAGCGGUGAAAUGCGUUGAUAUCCACAGGAACUCCGGUGGCGAAGGCGGCACGCUGGACCCUCUCUGACGCUGAGGCGCGAAAGCCAGGGGAGCGAACGGG
rnacentral:rRNA from 1 species